rnacentral:lncRNA from 1 species
AGUGACUAAGUGGGUCAUCAUCUGUUUCCACAGACUCAGCGGGGUCACUCCUUACAGGCCAUCUCAUCAUCCACUGUUUACCGUGGAGUGAUUUGUUUGCAGCCCGUUUUCACGCAGCGGAGGGGAUUUCCGUCUUUCCCUCAUCUGAUCUUGUCCCUGAACAGACUCGGUCAUCCACUGUGAGCCCUGGACUGACUCUGUUAUCCACUGCUCUUCCUGGGCGGAGGCUGAUGACGCUUCACCCUAUUGGUUCUGGUUUUUAAAAGCGGGCUUCCUGGGACUUAAAACAUGGUGGUUCUCUAUUCACGUGGAUGAAAACACAGAUCGGUACGUGAGUUUCCACUCAGAGGAGUUAUCCCAGUUUGCAUCCCAACCAAGAACAUACAGAGGUCUCUCCAAAGCCUGUGCGUUGUCCCCAAUCUUAAUUUUUUCCCGGUGUGACAGAGGACUCUAGGAAAUUCCCAAUAGGGAACAAUGCGUCUGCUUCAGAGUGUCAACGUGAAAAGCUGCCAUCAGCAAGGAGAAUCUUCCUAAAACAGGUGAGAAAGGGUCUUGGAGAAAAAAUUUUUGUACAACAACAAUGUCUACCCUAUGGUACACCCAAUAUUUGAUAAACAGUGAAAUGUAGGGAAAUAGACCUGAAAAUUCAGGUACAAAGGAAUUGCGACAUUUUUGGAUAAAAAUGCAUUGAACAUCUUGCAAAUACUCAAGAUAGGUCUAACGAGGUAUUUCCCCUGCCUUAAAAAAUCAACCCCAUGUACAUUCUUCUUUUUCUGCCUGUCUCUCUUUCUCACUGUUUUUCUCUCUGUGCAGUGAGAAUCUACAGUGUGCUGAGAAAAAUGUAUCUUUUUCCUGCAGCUGGCUCUGAGCUUGUCUCCUGCAGACAGUGAACGGCCCAGAGAUAAAGCCCAUCCCCACCAGGCCCCACCAGCAAUCUUGUGGAAACAGAGCCCCUGUGUUUGCCUGUGGUGGGGUCUGCCAUGUCUCUCUUUUAGGUGCUUGGCAUGUUGAAAAGAACUGCUGAGUUGGUCAUUGAUGGAGACAUGGCAUUCUUGUACAAGGGGACAGGGAAGACCCCAGGGGACCCUGGGGCUGCCCCCUCUGCAGGUGGCGCUCGCUAGCCAGGAGGCAUGAAGU